UACGAAGGGGGCGAGCGUUGUUCGGAAUUACUGGGCGUAAAGCGCGCGCAGGCGGCUAUCCAAGUCAGUGGUGAAAGCCCGGAGCUCAACUCCGGAACUGCCAUUGAAACUGUUUAGCUUGAGUAUGAGAGAGGUGAGUGGAAUUCCCAGUGUAGAGGUGAAAUUCGUAGAUAUUGGGAAGAACACCGGUGGCGAAGGCGGCUCACUGGCUCAUUACUGACGCUCAGGCGCGACAGCGUGGGGAUCAAACAGG
rnacentral:rRNA from 1 species